CCUACGGGUGGCAGCAGUGAGGAAUAUUGGUCAAUGGUCGGGAGACUGAACCAGCCAAGCCGCGUGAGGGAUGAAGGUACAGAGUAUCGUAAACCUCUUUUGUCAGGGAACAAAGGCGGGGACGUGUCCCCGGAUGAGUGUACCUGUAGAAAAAGCAUCGGCUAACUCGGUGCCAGCAGCCGCGGUAAUCCGGAGGAUGCGAGGGUUAUCGGGAUAUACUGGGUGAAAAGGGUGCGCGGGGGGUCUGUUAAGUCAGAGGUAAAAGCCCGGGGCACAACCCCGGCCCGCGGUUGAAACUGGCAGUCUCGAGUUGGAUAGAGGUAUGCGGAAUGCGCGGUGUAGCGGUGAAAUGCAUAGAUA
rnacentral:rRNA from 1 species